GGGUGUUUAGCUCAGUCGGUAGAGCAGUAGCCUUUUAAGCUAUUGGUCCCGGGUUCGAGUCCCGGAACACCCACCA
rnacentral:tRNA from 1 species